UACGUAGGGGGCUAGCGUUGUCCGGAAUCAUUGGGCGUAAAGAGCGCGUAGGCGGCCAGAUAAGUCCGGUGUGAAAGUCAAAGGCUCAACCUUUGAAUGCCGCUGGAUACUGCUUGACUUGAGUCCGGAAGGGGCGAGUGGAAUUCCUGGUGUAGCGGUGAAAUGCGCAGAUAUCAGGAGGAACACCAAUGGCGAAGGCAGCUCGCUGGAACGGUACUGACGCUGAGGCGCGAAAGCGUGGGGAGCGAACAGG
rnacentral:rRNA from 1 species